rnacentral:rRNA from 1 species
AUGAUUCCAUCCAAUAUGAAGAACCUAUGUGAGUUGAAGGUAUUAGAGUCACAAGAGAACAAUACCAACGGGAGUAUAACUGAAUUAUUCCAUCGGUUACCUAGCUGUUCAAGGAAUAAACUAGAGGAGUUGUAUCUGGCGGACAUGAACCUGACUGCAAGCCUGCCAACUACACUAGUACAACCCUUAAGCAACCUGAGGUUUCUGGAUCUCCGUCAUAACAAACUCACCGGUCAUGUGCCAACAUGGAUAGGAGAGCUCACAGAGCUAAGAGGAUUAUUCCUAGACUCCAACAACCUGGAUGGGGUCAUGCAUGAAGGCCAUUUUUCUGGUUUAGAUAUGUUAUUUGAUAUGACAUUGUCAGACAACUCCAUAGCCAUCCUAGUGAGUCCAACUUGGGUUCCUCCUUUCAAUUUACAAAUAAUUGAGCUUCGGUCCUGCCAGCUAGGACCUAAAUUUCCAAUGUGGCUAAGAUGGCAAACAGAGAUAUAUAGUCUUGAUAUAUCAAACACAAGCAUAAUUGACAUGGUACCGGACUGGUUCUGGAUAGCAGCUUCCUCGGCGGAGGUUCUCAAUAUCCGAAAUAACCAGAUUACUGGGGUCCUCCCAUCAACAAUGGAAUCUAUGAGAGCAUUUGCAAUGGAUUUCAGUUCUAACAAGCUUGGCGGUCCCAUACCUAAGCUUCCCAACAAUCUAAACCACUUAGAUCUCAAUCGGAACAAUGUAGUUGGGCCACUACCAUUAGACUUUGGAGCGCCACAGCUUACAACACUUCUUCUGUAUAACAACAGGAUUUCUGGUGCUAUUCCAGCUUCUUUGUGCAAGUUGCGAUCACUGGAGUUGUUAGAUAUAUCAAGAAACAAUCUUAGUGGGUCAAUUACCGACUGCCUAGUUAAUGACCUCAGCACAAACAUGACAGAUCUGAGUAUCAUUAAUCUGAGCUUAAGAAACAACAACCUCUCUGGAGGGUUUCCUUUACUUCUCCAGAAAUGCCCACGACUCAUCUUUCUUGAUCUCGGAGGUAAUCAUUUUUCGGGUAAUUUACCAGCAUGGAUUGGGGAGAAGCUACCGUCUUUGUCAUUCUUGCGACUGAGAUCCAAUAUGUUUUAUGGUCACAUUCCAGUUGAGCUUAUGAAGCUUGUUAAUCUUCAAUAUUUGGACCUUGCGUACAACAAUAUAUCAGGAAGCAUACUGAGGUCUAUUGUUAAUUGUACAGGCAUGAUACAAGAAAGAGACUUCGCUGGUGAUGCAUUCCUGUUUGGUCAAACUGAACUAGUCACUUUUGCUCUCCUGUUUGGUGAAACUGAACUAGUUGACUAUACUGAGAAUUUCACAGUACUAACAAAAGGUCAAGAGAGAUUAUAUACAGGAGAAAUCAUAUACAUGGUGAAUCUUGAUCUAUCCUGUAACAGUCUUACCGGAGAGAUACCCGCAGAAAUCAGCACUCUUCUAGCAUUGAAGAACCUGAACUUAUCAUGGAACAACUUCAACGGAAAAAUCCCUGGGAAGAUUGGCGCCUUAAUCCAAGUGGAGUCACUCGACCUAUCACACAAUGAUUUGUCCAGUGAGAUCCCUUCAAGCUUAUCCGCUCUCACAUCAUUGAGUCGCCUGAACCUGUCCUACAACAAUCUGAGUGGAAUGAUACCAUCUGGAAAUCAACUGCAAGCACUUGAAGAUCCCGCAUCUAUUUACGUUGGCAACCCGGGCCUCUGUGGUCCACCUCUCUUGCUGAAAUGUUCAUCACAGCCCGAGCCAAUUCCAGUGCACCAUGAAGAUACAAGCGAUGACAUGGUUUCCUAUUUCAUAGCCAUGGGUUCUGGAUCUGUGAUGGGUCUCUGGGUGGUAUUCUGCACCUUCUUGUUCAAGAGGAAAUGGAGAGUUUCAUGGUACUCACUCUGCGACCGCUUGUAUGACCGGGCUUAUGUGCAAGUGGCUGUUACUUGGGCUUCCUUUAGAGGUAGAAUUAAUGGGUAG